rnacentral:rRNA from 1 species
UACGGAGGGUGCAAGCGUUAAUCGGAAUUACUGGGCGUAAAGCGCGCGUAGGUGGUUGGGUAAGUCAGAUGUGAAAGCCCCGGGCUCAACCUGGGAACUGCAUUUGAUACUGCCUGGCUAGAGUAUGGUAGAGGGGGGUGGAAUUCCCGGAGUAGCGGUGAAAUGCGUAGAUAUCGGGAGGAACACCAGUGGCGAAGGCGGCCCCCUGGACCAAUACUGACGCUGAGGUGCGAAAGCGUGGGGAGCAAACAGG